AAAUGGAAUUGUAUCUAUUGCAUUAUGAAUACAAGGCACAUUACUAAUCUGAUGCAGAAGUUUCAGCUUAAGGAAAUAUUUGACAAUUGAUAUUAGUUAUUUACUGCCAGUAGCCAUAAAUAGUUUAUACUACUGAACCCGAAAGAAAGGAAGUUUGAGCGAGGCAAAGAAUUCAGUGCAGAUGUAUAACAAAACACAGGCAUAGCUAAACAUUUCAAAGAAGAUAGGGAAAGGGGUAAGCAGACAGGCAGUAUGAUCAUUGAUGUAAAAUUCCACACAAUUUAAUUGUAAAUGAGAAGGGAUUAGCAAUUUAUUAUAAAAUUAACCAGCUAGGUCAUGGAUGAGUUCAACAAAGCUUAUCUAAGACAAUAUCCAUUUGUGCAAUAUAUUUGCAGAUGACAUAUUGUUAAUAGAUGAAAUCGGUUUGGAAUUAAUGGAAAGUUAAGAGUUUUGGAGGAACGCCCUGGGUUUAAUUUAAGUAGAACUAUAACAGAGCAUAUAAAUUGCAAAUUUAGCAAUGGAUGUGGAAGGAUCAAAGUGGAGUUAGCUUAGAUGGGUGCAGAUGUCCAACAAGGAAAUGAGCAAAUUACAGUCUUAAGUUCAAUCAAACCAGCAAUGAGAACUAUAGAAACAAAAACACUAACAAAAUUGAUAAACGCCCACCUAUGGCCUCUACAAGCAAUAUAA
rnacentral:misc_RNA from 1 species